rnacentral:rRNA from 1 species
UACGGGGGGGGUAAGCGUUGUUCGGAAUUACUGGGCGUAAAGGGCUCGUAGGCGGCCAACUAAGUCAGACGUGAAAUCCCUCAGCUUAACUGGGGAACUGCGUCUGAUACUGGAUGGCUUGGAUCCGGGAGAGGGGUGCGGAAUUCCAGGUGUAGCGGUGAAAUGCGUAGAUAUCUGGAGGAACACCGGUGGCGAAGGCGGCAUCCUGGACCGGCAUUGACGCUGAGGCGCGAAAGCCAGGGGAGCAAACGGG